rnacentral:lncRNA from 1 species
AUGUCAAAACCCUAGAUGUAUGCAUGAGAGAAAAUAUGAGCACCCAAAGUGAGCAAAAGAACAGAGUGACACAAUGACCUAGAUCGAGUGGCAUUCGAUAAAGCUAAUGUGAAAUGACACUAGAGUUAGUGUGAUGUAAAGAACUAAAGUGAUGUAAAGAAUGAAGAAAGUGACAUCGUGUAAAGUUAAAGUAAAAUGGGGUAAUAAGAACAAGAAUGCUAGAGUUAGCAAGAGAAAUGAAAAUGUAAAGAAUGUGAUUGCAUGAGUUUGCAACAUAAAGUGAUGUAAAGAACACUAGAGCUAGUGUAAAGUCAAGAUUGAACUUAUAAUCCUUUGAGUUAAGGAUAUGAUCAUACUUGCUAUGAGUUCCGUGCUCGAGGGCGGUCGCUCCCCCUCGGGCGAUGCGCUCCGGAGUUAUGCAUCCGGGUUGGAGUAAACCCGAAAGGACGGUCCUAGCUGGUGAGUUCCUGCGAUGAUGGACUUAAUGUGAAGCAAGUUAAAGUGGCGAAACCCCCGGGCUAGCCUUAAUGAUUAAAGAACAAAGAGUAAAGAACAAAGUGUAAAGUGCAAAGAACUAAAGAACAUGCAUAACCUGCAUUUAUUUAAUGUUGAGCAUAUUUCUUGCUAUUUGUUCAGGCAUAUUAGCAUCAUGUUAUAGAUUGGUUACUAUAUCUUACUUAUCCUUUCUAUUAUGCCUGAGUUAGUCCUAGUGGGAAAGUCGGUGAUGUUGGGGCCGAACCCACUGGGAACUUUGUUGUAGUUCUCACCCCACUAUUUCCACAGAGCCGGGACCGAGCGAGCCGGCGAGCGACCGAGGUAAAGGAAUCGCGCCUUAGUCAGAGGCCACCAAUGUUGGGUUUCAUUUUGUAGUAAAGUACCUUAUGAUCAUCUUUUGUAUUUGAUGAUUAGUAAUGUAAAGAAAAGAAUGUAAAGCUUAUUUUGAGGAAAAUGUGAUGUAAGAAAGAAAUGAUGAAACGAUGUAAUGAAUAUAAGAAAUCGAUAAAUUACUGAAUGAAUGCAAUGUGUAUGAUCUAAAAUGAAUCAUAUUACUUGUGAAUGUUUAGUUUCCUCUUUCUUUCACUGAUGGCUAUUGCUUACCCUCGUGUAAGCCGUUUGUGUAUGUUUCCGCUAGUGC